GAGGGUAUAGUUCAAGUGGUAGAGUGCAUGUUUAGCAUGCAGGAGGUCUUGGGUUCAGUCCCCAGUACCUCCA
rfam:Camelus ferus unplaced genomic scaffold scaffold2070, whole genome shotgun sequence.